GGUCAGAUAGCAAAGUGGUAAUGCAAGAGUCUGCAAAACUCUCAUCGUCGGUUCGAUCCCGUCUCUGACCUCCA
rnacentral:tRNA from 1 species